GGGGAUUUGGCUCAGUGGUAGAGCACUUGCCUAGCAAGCGCAAGGCCCUGGGUUCGGUCCCCAGCUCCG
rfam:Rattus norvegicus chromosome 12, whole genome shotgun sequence.